rnacentral:rRNA from 1 species
AGUGAACGCUGGCGGUAGGCCUAACACAUGCAAGUCGAACGGCAGCACAGUAAGAGCUUGCUCUUACGGGUGGCGAGUGGCGGACGGGUGAGGAAUACAUCGGAAUCUACUUUUUCGUGGGGGAUAACGUAGGGAAACUUACGCUAAUACCGCAUACGACCUACGGGUGAAAGCAGGGGAUCUUCGGACCUUGCGCGAUUGAAUGAGCCGAUGUCGGAUUAGCUAGUUGGCGGGGUAAAGGCCCACCAAGGCGACGAUCCGUAGCUGGUCUGAGAGGAUGAUCGGCCACACGGGACCUAGGAAACGGUCCAACCUCUUACGGAAGGCAGCAGUGGGGAAUAUUGGCCAUGGGGCGCAAGCCUGAUCCAGCCAUCCCGCGGGGGUGAAAAAGGCCUCCGGUUUGUAAAGCCCUUUUUUUGGGAAAAAAAAGCGGCAGGUUAAUCCCCGCUGUUCUGACGGUACCCAAAGAAUAAGCACCGGCUAACUUCGUG